GAGCCCUUAGUAUAGUGGAUAGUACAGAAGUUUCCUAAACUUUUGACGUCGGUUCAACUCCGGCAGGGCUCA
rnacentral:tRNA from 1 species